AUGCCCCGGCGCGCGCCGCCAACGCCAACGCCAACGCUCGCGGGCCCGGGCUCGCGGGGGGCGCGCGGGCAGGUGCCGGCGCCGCGAGGCGCGAAUCGCCGCGGCGGCCGAGGCCGAGGGGCCCGGGAGGAGCGGGGGCGCGGGCGCGGGGCCGCCGGGCCGUCCUCGCGCGGCGCGCCGCCGCCGCCCCGCUCCUCCACCGCGCGGCGCCCGCCCGGCUCGUCCCGGCGGCGCUGGCCGGCCGCGUCGCGCCCGCCGCCGGCCGCCCCGGCCCGGCCCGACCCGCGCGCACCCCGCCGCCCGCGCCGGCCCCGCGGCCCGCCCGCGCCCUCCCGCCCGUCCGCCCGCGCGCGCGGCUUCCGGGCGGCGGAGCGCUGUGGCGGCGGCCCUCAGAGCGCGGCGGCGGCGGCGGCGCGGGGCUCGGCGCACAUCCUCCGGCGGCUCGCUCCGGCUCGGACUGAGCGCCCGGCGCUGAGCUCACGCCGCCGCCCCGCCCCGCGCCCCGCCCCGCGCGCCGCCCCGCCCCGCGCGCCGUCGGGGCCGCGCGGCCGCCGCAGCCGAGCGCCGGCCAGGAAUGCGACCGCCUCCCCGGCGCGGCUCUUCCAGGAACGCGCGCUCCCCCCGCCCGCGCUCGGGCCGCUCGGCUGUGGUCGGGCCUGUCCGCCCGGGGCUCGGGCCAGUCCGCCCAGGACUCGGCUCCGCUCGGAUUCGCCUCGGCCCCGCUCGGCUCUUCUCAGCCCCGCCCACCCGGGACUCGGCCCCGCUCGGCCCCGCCCACCCGGGGCUCGGCCCCGCUCGGCCCGGCUCGGCCCCGCCCGCCGGAAGGCCGCUCGGCGGGGGCGGCGGCGGCGCCCGGGGGCCCCUUUCCGGCCGAGGCGGCUUCCUGCGCGGCUGGGAAGGCGCCCGUCCCGCCGCCGCCGCCGCCGCCGGGGCCUGGAAACCCACACGCGGCCCCCGCCGCAACCGCAACCCAGCGGAGCGGCGGGCGGGACAGGGCUGCGCGGCCCCGCCACGGGGACGCCACACGGCGCGAUCCGCGCGUCCCCGCGCACGCCGGCCUCCGUGCAGCGGGACCCGGGUGCACGCAGUACGGGCGCCGCUGCCCGCCGCGGGUCCCUGCACCUCAGGGUCGCGACGCCCCGGGCCGCCACACGGGAAACACCCUGCGCCACGUGUCCGGGACCCCCACACGCAGGCGCGGCGCAGCCCCACCCCACGCGGGGCGGUUGGCGGCUGCCCCGGCCGCUCGCGCCCCUGACCCCGGUCCCCGCUCCGUCCCCGUGCGGCCACCCCCCUCCGGUGUCGCCUGCUCCACGCGCGGGGCUUCGCGCGGGUGGGGGGGGUGGCCCUGCGUCCAGGCGCUGCCCUGUGCACGCGGGCCAGGUCACUGCCAGGGCCAAGCCCGGGGUCCUCGGGCCGGCCAGCGUGACCCAUCACCCGCAGCCCCCCAGGCCGGCGGGAGAGCCGCUUAUACGUCUGCAGGUCUCCCAGGGUGAGGCCACCCUGUCCAUCCUUCCUCGCCCUGGCUGUGUCUGGCGGGGGGGAGACAAAGCAGAAUGUGGCCGUGGGAGAGGACAGGCCGAAGCUGGCCGGGCGGCCCCCCUGAGGAGGCGGCAUCCAGCAGAGGCCCCCAGGGUGGGGACUGGAAAUCAGCGGGACAGUUAUGGCUGUGCUCAACUCGAGGGCAGAACAACAAUCCAAUUGAGCUGGGCAGUGGCACCUUUUCCUCCACAAGACAAGCGCACUCGAGCAGGCUUGAGCCUUGGGGGACUCGUGGGGGCUGCCCGCGGUACUGGGCAGGGGCAGAGAGCCACGCCCACUGCAGCCUGGUGGCCUUCAGUUUGUCGCCUUCUGCUCCUGCCUCCCCAGUGGAGGCUGGAACGGGCCCCAAACCAGUACUUCUGGGGGCAGCACCUGCCCCAGGGAGCCGACCCAGCAUCCCUGCAGCCCUCGGUCACCCCUGAGGCUCGGACAGGUGUCCAGACGGGCGGUUAG
rnacentral:lncRNA from 1 species